UUACAUGUCACAUGAUGCUGCUCUGCUUCCUGAAUAAAUAAAUGUAUAUGCACGUAUUUUAAGUUUUUUCACAACUAAUUUAUGAAUAUAUACUUAAAUUUCACUUCUUGUAAAUAUUCAAGGUAGAAGAAUGCUUUAAUUUAUCUGUGGAUAUAAAUACAACACACAAAGAUCCUGGGUAUAGUUGAAGUGAUUUCAUAAGCUUGAGAAAAUAUUUGGGUACAUAGUUUUCUUGAACAAAGCAUGAAACCAUAUGAAAGAAGAAAAGAAAAUGGUUGGACAUAUUACAUUUUGAAGAUGUAGGGGAAUUGAGUUACAGAUGUCCUGUGUAACCCCAUAAAGAUUAAUGCACACUGAUGAAUCACUGACUGUGGGAUCUCCCACUGGACAACAGGAUGAAGAAGAACAUCACAAUAGAGAUCGAUACAUUUGUCACUGCACAGCAAAAAACAAGGCAGCUGCUCUGCUAGACAUCUUACAGUAACCCACUCCUGCUGCCUCUUCUGCUAUUCUUGCACUUGGGACAGCUGCUAUUCCACUUGGGAAGGCACUUUAUUGUCUGGAGGUGACAACUCACAAGUACUCUUACCCAUCUAUUUUUUAUCCACUGUGAUGACUUGCCAACCCUAUCAUGCUCACUAACUAUGUACUUGAGGAUAUAUUUUCACCAAUCACUUCCACUCAUGCAUUCAAGCACAGCACCAGCUGGAAUCAGGAGGAAUGAAGUGUUAGUGCACAUAUGGUAACCACGUGGUCUUCAAGUGAAUUUUCCAGAGAAAUGGCAGCCUGCGGUUACAAUCGUGACUGCCAGCAAUACCACUUGCAGACCAAGGUACUGAAGUUGUGGUACAAGUGGGCCAAUGAUGCAAACCACAGUUUUGGUGCAUACAGGAUUAUGUGAACCUUCUUUGAAGAGCUGUCCUAACAUCCUAGUGUUGAGCUAAAGUUAAUGUUCCUUUAUAUACUCUUGAUAUUGUCUUUAUAAUAUCCUUUAUUGCUUUGUUAAUUAUUAUUGUAUAACCAAUAUCCAUUUUAGUUUCCUUAAAUAACUGUGUAACUUAGCCUUAGUUGAGAAUCCAUUUUGAUUUUUACAUUGCUUAGCAUAAGUGUAACAGUCAUUUUGGUUUGUGAUUUUGUAGGUUAAACAUAGUAUAAGAGAAGUAGUGUGUAUGCAAGGUUGUGGUAUGUCUGGGAUGUUUGAAAAGAGGUAAUGAAAAAAUAAACAAUGUGUGUGGAAAUGCAUGUGUUGAGAUAGUGUAUCUUGCACCUAAGACUAAAAGGAUGGAAAUAGACUUCUGUGAUUUAAUAACCACAGGUUAUAACAAUGUCCAAGAUCAGCACUUAAGAAUUACAAAAUACAAGAUCGUGUUUUGUUCCAGUGGCUGAAGAAAUUGCUGACAACUGGUGAAAAAAAUUGCAGACCACAAAGAAAGAAGAGUUUGUCAAUCAUAACAUUGUAACUGAAGAGGAGGAUCAUUUCCACAUUGAGAGGACAUGACACAGCAAGACCCAUAGACUUGUAUGGGGAAAAAUCACUAUAAAGAUGGGCAAGAACAAAGAGGCUUUGGGUCUGUCCCGCACAGAAGACAAAGAAGCAUCAGAAUGCAUAUGACAAGACCUGGCUUCAUUCUCGUAGUUAACUUGGCUGGCCACCAAGCUAACCCGAGCAUCUAAAGGACUGGUAAUAUCUUGAUAUAUGCAGGACUGUCUGUCUGUCUCCUUUUAUAUGUAUGUGAAUAAAUGGCUAUGAAUGUUUGAGUGUAUGAGCAUGUACGUGUUAGUGUAUGAAAGAGGAAACACCACCUUUUUGUUGUUUUUUCUUUUAUUUUGUUUGUCUUAUGUUUUCAAUAAAUGCAGCAUUGUGCCUUAUCUCCUAAUAA